rnacentral:rRNA from 1 species
UACGGGGGGAGCAAGCGUUGUUCGGAUUUACUGGGCGUAAAGGGCGCGUAGGCGGCCACCGCAAGUCGGUUGUGAAAUCUCCGGGCUUAACCCGGAAAGGUCAAUCGAUACUGCGGGGCUAGAGUGCAGAAGGGGCAACUGGAAUUCUCGGUGUAGCGGUGAAAUGCGUAGAUAUCGAGAGGAACACCUGCGGCGAAAGGCGGCCCCCUGGGUCGGCCCUGACGCUGAGGCGCGAAAGCGUGGGGAGCGAACGGG